rnacentral:rRNA from 1 species
GUACGCUAUUCAGAGUUUGAUCCUGGCUCAGAUUGAACGCUGGCGGCAUGCUUUACACAUGCAAGUCGAGCGGCAGCGCGGGGCAACCUGGCGGCGAGCGGCGAACGGGUGAGGAAUACAUCGGAACGUACCCGAGAGUGGGGGAUAACGCCGCGAAAGCGGCGCUAAUACCGCAUAUUCUCCGAGGAGGAAAGUGGGGGACCGCAAGGCCUCACGCUCACGGAGCGGCCGAUGUCGGAUUAGCUAGUUGGUGGGGUAAAGGCUUACCAAGGCGACGAUCCGUAGCUGGUCUGAGAGGAUGAUCAGCCACACUGGGACUGAGACACGGCCCAG